rnacentral:rRNA from 1 species
UACAGAGGUCUCGAGCGUUGUGCGGAAUUACUGGGCGUAAAGCGCACGUAGGCGGCUUUGCAAGUUAGAGGUGAAAGCCCGGGGCUCAACCCCGGAAUUGCCUUUAAAACUGCAUCGCUAGAAUUGUGGAGAGGUAAGUGGAAUUCCGAGUGUAGAGGUGAAAUUCGUAGAUAUUCGGAAGAACACCAGUGGCGAAGGCGACUUACUGGACACAUAUUGACGCUGAGGUGCGAAAGCGUGGGGAGCAAACAGG